GACGAACGCUGGCGGCGUGCCUAAUACAUGCAAGUCGAGCGGACCAAAGGGAGCUUGCUCCUGGAGGUUAGCGGCGAACGGGUGAGUAACACGUGGGCAACCUGCCUGUAAGACUGGGAUAACAUCGAGAAAUCGGUGCUAAUACCGGAUAAUAAAAAGAACUGCAUGGUUCUUUUUUGAAAGAUGGUUUCGGCUAUCACUUACAGAUGGGCCCGCGGCGCAUUAGCUAGUUGGUGAGGUAACGGCUCACCAAGGCAACGAUGCGUAGCCGACCUGAGAGGGUGAUCGGCCACACUGGGACUGAGACACGGCCCAGACUCCUACGGGAGGCAGCAGUAGGGAAUCUUCCGCAAUGGACGAAAGUCUGACGGAGCAACGCCGCGUGAGUGAUGAAGGUUUUCGGAUCGUAAAACUCUGUUGUUAGGGAAGAACAAGUGCCGUUCGAAAGGGCGGCACCUUGACGGUACCUAACGAGAAAGCCACGGCUAACUACGUGCCAGCAGCCGCGGUAAAGU
rnacentral:rRNA from 1 species